rnacentral:rRNA from 1 species
UACAGGAUGGAUAGUAUUGUUAAGCAUUAAUAGGCAUUAAGAGUAAUUAGGUGGUGAAUAAAACACUAGAGUGAAUAAAAAAGAAAAGAGGAAGAAUAAAAGGAAUGAUAAAAAUAUGUUGAUUUUUAUUCGAACACCAGUUAAGCGACAGCAUCUUUCUAUUUUUCACUGACACUGAUUUACUAAAGUAUGGGGCGCAAACUGG